UACGGGGGGAGCAAGCGUUGUUCGGAUUUACUGGGCGUAAAGGGCGCGUAGGCGGCCAGCACAAGUCAGUUGUGAAAUCUCCGAGCUUAACUCGGAAAGGUCAACUGAUACUGUGCGGCUAGAGUGCGGAAGGGGCAACUGGAAUUCUUGGUGUAGCGGUGAAAUGCGUAGAUAUCAAGAGGAACACCUGCGGCGAAGGCGGGUUGCUGGGCCGACACUGACGCUGAUGCGCGAAAGCUGGGGGAGCGAACGGG
rnacentral:rRNA from 1 species